UACAGAGGGUGCGAGCGUUGUCCGGAAUCACUGGGCGUAAAGGGCGCGUAGGUGGCGCCGCAAGUCCAUGGUGAAAGCUCGAUGCUCAACAUCGAGUCGGCCACGGAGACUGCGGGGCUCGAGCACUGUAGGGGCAGAUGGAAUUCCGGGUGUAGCGGUGGAAUGCGUAGAGAUCCGGAAGAACACCGGUGGCGAAGGCGGUCUGCUGGGCCUUACCUGACGCUCAGGUGCGAAAGCUAGGGGAGCGAACAGG
rnacentral:rRNA from 1 species